rnacentral:rRNA from 1 species
UUUGUCCUACGGGGCGCAGCAGUAGGGAAUCUUCCACAAUGGGCGAAAGCCUGAUGGAGCGACGCCACGUGAGUGAAGAAGUAUUUCGGUAUGUAAAGCUCUAUCAGCAGGGAAGAAAAUGACGGUACCUGACUAAGAAGCCCCGGCUAACUACGUGCCAGCAGCCGCGGUAAUACGUAGGGGGCAAGCGUUAUCCGGAUUUACUGGGUGUAAAGGGAGCGUAGACGGCAGAGCAAGUCUGAAGUGAAAGCCCGCGGCCCAACUGCGGGACUGCUUUGGAAACUGCCCGGCUAGAGUGCUGGAGG